AAUCAACGCUGGCGGCGUGCCUCAGACAUGCAAGUCGAACGAUUAAAGCUCUCUUCGGAGAGUGUAUAGAGUGGCGCACGGGUGAGUAACACGUAAGUAAUCUACCCUCGAGUGGGGAAUAACAACCGGAAACGGUUGCUAAUACCGCAUAAUGCAGCGGCACCGCAAGGUGACAGUUGUUAAAGAUUUAUCGCUUGAGGAGGAGCUUGCGGCAGAUUAGCUAGUUGGUAGGGUAACGGCUUACCAAGACUACGAUCUGUAACCGGUCUAAGAGGACGGUCGGUCACACUGACACUGAAUAACGGGUCAGACUCCUACGGGAGGCAGCAGUCGGGAAUUUGGUCGAAUAGGCGGAAGACCUCGACCACGACAACGACCGCCGUGAAGGAAGUAGAAGUAAUUUACGGUUAGUGUAAACUUACGUAAA
rnacentral:rRNA from 1 species